rnacentral:rRNA from 1 species
ACGGGGACCCGCACAAGUAGCGGAGCAUGUGGUUUAAUUCGAAGCAACGCGAAGAACCUUACCUAAGCUUGACAUCCCAAUGACAUCUCCUUAAUCGGAGAGUUCCCUUCGGGGACAUUGGUGACAGGUGGUGCAUGGUUGUCGUCAGCUCGUGUUGUGAAAUGUUGGGUUAAGUCCCGCAACGAGCGCAACCCUUAUCCUUUGUUGCCAGCGGUCCGGCCGGGAACUCAAAGGAGACUGCCAGUGAUAAACUGGAGGAAGGUGGGGAUGACGUCAAGUCAUCAUGGCCCUUACGACCAGGGCUACACACGUGCUACAAUGGCGCAUACAAAGAGAAGCGACCUCGCGAGAGCAAGCGGACCUCAUAAAGUGCGUCGUAGUCCGGAUUGGAGUCUGCAACUCGACUCCAUGAAGUCGGAAUCGCUAGUAAUCGUGGAUCAGAAUGCCACGGUGAAUACGUUCCCGGGCCUUGUACACACCGCCCGUCACACCAUGGGAGUGGGUUGCAAAAGAAGUAGGUAGCUUAACCUUCGGGAGGGCGCUUACCACUUUGUGAUUCAUGACUGGGGUGAAGUCGUAACAAGUAAC